AAGACUAUAUUUUCAGGGAUCAUGUCGAUAGGUCAUUUCUAGAGAAGCUUCCCUGAACGUUUAAGGCACAGGAAACCAAGAGGAGGAGGCGCAGCAUUCUCUCCUGAGCAUGGAACCGGUAAGGGAGGGAUGUUGCCGCCUAAGCUUCAUAUACUUCGUGGUAUAUGAAGUGUUGCUUCACUGCAGCUGGCCGUUCAUUUGCUCUUGGUGAUCAUUCCUCUCUUCUUUUGGGAGAGGAAUAGGGAAAGGACACAGUCGAGGA
rnacentral:snoRNA from 1 species